GGAGUUAGCCGGGGUUUCGUUUACCAGGUACUGUCAUUAUCAUCCCUGGCGAGAGAGCUUUACGACCCUAGGGCCUUCAUCACUCACGCGGCAUGGCUAGAUCAGGCUUUCGCCCAUUGUCUAAGAUUCCCCA
rnacentral:rRNA from 1 species